AGGGGUGUAACUUAGUGGUAGAGCACUUGCCUAACAUGCAUGAAGCCCUGAGUUCAAUCCUCAGCACCACAA
rnacentral:tRNA from 1 species